ensembl:snRNA U6 U6 spliceosomal RNA
GUGGUUGUUUUGGCAGCACAUGUACCAAAUUUGGAAUGAUAAGAGAAGAAAGCAUGGCUUCUGCACAAGUAAGGUAUACAAGUUUGUAAAGUGUUCCAUAUUUUU